rnacentral:lncRNA from 1 species
UAAUUCUUUUGUCAAUUACUCUUGUUGCUCCUCAAUUUUACUCAGGAAAGACCAUUGUAGUGCAAGCUUCUGAUAGACUACCAAAUAAAGUCACAUUCUUGGUGAUAUAUGGAAGGCUAGACACCGAGCCUCACAAAUUUCCUUGCGAAUUAGGAUAGGAGAAGUCUCGGCCAAAACACAAACUCACAAAUACCUCAAUUCUAGCUUUUUAAUGGGGGUGAAAAAUAGAAGUUAGAGAUCAAGUGGAGUCACGCUUGCAAAGAAAUUAAAAGAGGCAUGAUGUAUUGACUAAUAAAAGAUGGCAGGAGAACGGGUUAAAACAAGUUCAAGAGUGAAGCCAAAUCUCAAGGUUCAACCAUCAUGCAGCGCUCAUCAUGUCUGGUUGUGAUCAUCAUAAAGUCUCAAGGUACUUGAUACCUACCUUUUUAAAAAGUAGGAGAAAUAAAACAGUUAAGAAAAAAAUACAAAGACUUGAUAAAUAAUGAUGGUUUGAAAAACAAAUGCAAUAAAAGUAGUAACGCUUGGAGGUCGAGUCAGAUCUCGAUCCCAGUGAUCACACCCAGUUCAAAAUUUAUGCUUCAUGGAACGCAUCAGAGGUCAGACUCGUGGUCUAAAUAAUCUAAAACCGAUUUUUCUUUCUUUGUUUUUGUUUUU